UGGAAAGCUAAAUCUAUUUCAUAGCUUUUGAAAUAAAUCCUCCUGUUAAGGUGCCUGUAAAUGAAGAAAUAAACCCACAAGUAGUGUGUUUGUUUCAUGUUCAUGUGUCCCGUCGCUGGGUCCCGUCUGGUCUUUCGUCAAGGAGGCUUUUAUUGUGUAGGGUCAUGUCCGGAAGCCGUUUGUUAAAUGCCGCGUGCUUAUCUCUCGGUGGACGAGGGGGGGCACAGAGGAUGAGGGGGGAGGAGAGCAGCGCUCAUUGUUACCAGCCCGACGAGGAGCGCCGGAGACCCCGUCGCUGCACGUGAAUUCUCGCCAUUCAGGUAAACUUGGGUUUAACGGAACCGGUUCCAGCUAGCUUACAUUCACACCGUUUCUCCCCCUCAACCUCCCCCCGCCCCGCGCGCCGCUCGGCCCGGUGAGUUCACGUCACAACGCCGGUACACGCGCUGCGUCUCCCGUUAACCGGAGCGGACCGCCGUCUCGUUACCGCGAGGAGGAGCGCGUUACCGUGAAGAGGAGCGCGUUACCGUGAGGGGCAGCCCGUUACCGUGAGGAGGAGCGCGUUACCGUGAGGAGGAGCCGUUACCGUGAAGAGGAGCGCGUUACCGUGAAGAGGAGCGCGUUACCGUGAGGGGCAGCCCGUUACCGUGAGGAGGAGCCCGUUACCGUGAGGGGCAGCCCGUUACCGUGAGGGGCAGCCCGUUACCGUGAGGACGAGCUGUUACCGUGAGGAGGAGCCCGUUACCGUGAGGGGGAGCCGUUACCGUGAGGAGGAGCCCGUUACCGUGAGGGGGAGCCGUUACCGAGAGGAGGAGCCCGUUACCGUGAGGAGGAGCGCGUUACCGUGAGGAGGAGCGCGUUACCGUGAGGAGGAGCCGUUACGGUGAGGAGGAGCCCGUUACCGUGAGGAGGAGCCCGUUACCGUGAGGAGGAGCCGUUACUGUGAGGAGGAGCGCAGAGGCGCGUGUAGAAUGAGCUCCUUUAAGCGCGUUUCAUUGUGUUGUAGUUGUG
ensembl:lncRNA